rnacentral:misc_RNA from 1 species
AGGAGUGUCUGCACUGAGGCUGGGAUGUACGCUAUUAGGGCACGCAGGAAGACAGUGACUGAGAAAGACUUCCUGGAUGCAGUGAACAAGGUCAUAAAGGGGUAUCAGAAGUUCAGUGCAACACCAAAGUACAUGGUCUACAAUUGAGGGAGUUGAUUUUUAGGAAAUUCAUCAAUGUAUUUUAUGUUGAUUUAUUUUGAAUCUCAUUCAUACUACCUUAUCCUCAUUUUACAUUCUUGAGUUUUAGUUCCAUUAAAAGCAAUAAAUGUAUGUCAUUU